rnacentral:tRNA from 1 species
GCCUGGCUGGCUCAGUUGGUGGUGGAGCGUGUGACUCUUCAUCUCACGGUUGUGGGUUUGAGUCCCACGUUGGGUG